rnacentral:rRNA from 1 species
GACGAACUGUCCUAACGUUAUUCGGAAUCACUGGGCUUAAAGCGCGUGUAGGCGGGCCGCCACGUCGGCUGCUGAAAUCCCCCGGCUCAACCGGGGAACGGGCACCGAUACGAGCGGCCUCGAGGGGGGUAGGGGGCACUGGAACUUCCGGUGGAGCGGUGAAAUGCGUUGAGAUCGGAAGGAACGCCCGUGGCGAAAGCGAGUGCCUGGACCCUUUCUGACGCUGAGACGCGAAAGCCAGGGGAGCGAACAG